UUUAGAAAUAAAACUGCUAUAGAUAUUCAUGUGCAGGAUUUAUGUGGACAUGUUUUCAUUUAUCCAAGAUAAAUGCUCAAGGGGCUAAUUGCUGAUUCUUAAGAGCUGGAGGCCGAGGAGUGGUGCAAGCACCUCUGCAUGGAGUGUCUGGGGACCAGGCUCAAUGACAUCAGCCUUGGGGAGCCCGACCUUCUGGCGGCAGGAGUGCAGCGGGAACAGAAUGAGCGAUUCAACGUGUAUCUUAUGCCUACGCCAAAUCUGGAUAUUUAUGGUGAAUGCACAAUGCAGAUCACUCAUGAAAAUAUCUAUCUCUGGGAUAUCCACAAUGCCAAGGUCAAACUGGUGAUGUGGCCUCUCAGCUCACUGAGGAGAUAUGGUCGGGACUCAACCUGGUUCACGUUUGAGUCAGGAAGAAUGUGUGACACAGGAGAAGGACUAUUCACUUUUCAAACAAGGGAAGGAGAAAUGAUCUAUCAGAAGGUUCAUUCUGCGACACUGGCCAUAGCUGAGCAACAUGAAAGAUUAAUGC
rnacentral:sRNA from 1 species